UGGGGAUGGGGGCACGGCGGGAUCCGCGGCCGCCCGAGCGGAACGGUGGAUGACCUUGAGGCGCCGGCCAGCAGUAGAGAGGGAGGCAGAAGCCCCUCCCGAGCCCCACAGGAGCGGAUCUGCCGCCCGGCGCUGCCGGGGAAAGCUCCUGCUCUCAGCCGCGCCGAGGGGUCUUCAGGCUGGCUUCGGUCCCAGCUGGACAGCUGAUGGAGAGCCAUCAGGUCCAGUGUGGCAAUGCUGAAGCCCAGGAGCAGCACUGGAAACAUCUGUCCUGUGCUCUCUGGCAAGGUGAGCUGGGGCAUGCCUGGGUGGGUUGAGGUUUUUGUUUUGUCUUGGGAAGUCUCUGCCAGAUGAACUGUACUUAGAGAGCCAUGAAUAAAUUAUAGCCCAGCAAUGAAGCACUGUCUUCCACAGCUAUUCCAUGGGGAGGGAGGAGCAUUCUUCAUUAGAGAUGUGGCCAGACAGAGGUUAUCAGAGCCACCCUCUGAAGUGAGUCUGUCUCAUCACUAGCUAUAAAGAGAGCCCCAGGUGACAAGAUUUCUCACCUAGGGCACAGAUUCACCAUCUAUUUAAGCAUGGUUUUAUUAUCAGUUUUCCAAGACCAUCUGCCACUCCUUCCCCAUUCAUAAUCACAUCUGCCAUCUCCUUUGGGAGAGCUCUGAGCACACACACACACAUGAAUACAUAGUAAGGGCUAUAAGCCAUGCAUUUGCCCACAUGCAAGCAGAGAGCAUUGCUACAGCAGCCACCAGGCUGACAGGAAUUACACAAGAGGGAUAUAAUUUAGAAUGAAGUUUUGUUAAAAUAUCUAGGGGUUUUGUUCAUUCACUUUGUAAGGUUGAGGAUUUUUUGUGCAUCUUUAUACUGAUCACUUUUUGUUUGUGGAAGUGAAUGCUGUGGCCAAGAGUGGAGUGAGUUAGGUGUGAUCCCCAUUCAAGGGAUUAACUAAUCCUCUUGUCCAAUUUCCUAUACAUCACACACACUGUGAAAGACAGAAGGAGGUAGAAAUUUCCCUGUUCACUGGGACUCUGUCCAACAGUGGGAGUCUUCUCAGGAAGGGUGUUAGUUGGGCAACUUGCUGACCACCUACAUGUAGACAAACCUGAUCUGCUCCAGGUUGUGUCACCACAAUGACACGAUGGCUCCCAUACAUUCCAGGAGUGCACAGUGCAAGUAUGAAAGGCAUCCAACACAGACUACAAGGAGAAAAAUUCUGGCUGGAAAUAAUCCCAUAUUGAAAAAGCAAUCAGAUGCCCAGAGCAGCAUCCCUGGAGCGAUUCAGUGACCCUGUGACUUCAGCCAGACUUACCAGGAGAGGGCAGCCAGUGCUUUCUGGGCUGACUACCCCAGAAAAUGGGUAGCUGAGCAGGACCUGCUUUGAAUUGCUCUGUUGGAAAGCUUGGCCUUGCUUCUGGGCAUAGCAUCUCAAAAAGUCAUGUUCCUCCUUUCCUUUAUUGGAGCAGAAAGUGAAGUGACCCAGUUUGGUGCACUACAGAAUUGAUUUGGUGUCAGAUAUGUGAAAGCACAGUCAGAGAAGAGAGUCUGCUGUCUUCCCACAAAUUUCAUUACUCUUCCAGGGCUUCUGCUUCCCUUGAAUGUCCAGCUCACAGGCUGAGCUCUCUGAACUGGAGCUGGAGCUCCAGACGGGGGUCCAGGUUGUUGUUUGGGGUGCCCAGCAACAUCUCUGGUGAGAAGAAUGCAGAAGGAGCUUCCUCAAAUGGGGAUCUGGCACCUUUCUUAUGGACUCGGCAUUUCUGAUUUCUGGGGAUGAAGGAAAAGGGCUGCAUCCCCAGGGAAUGGGGCAGCUCAGUGCUCAUAUGGAAUGAAAGUGGACAGUCUGCAUAGGGGGAAGGUAGCACCAGUCACAUUGCCUGGUAUGAAUUAUUGUGGCAAUAACUGCUUAUUACAAUUUCAGGUGACCAAUAUUGCUUACAGAUGACAGGACCUCAGCUGGUAAAGGACCAUUAUAUUUUCUCAGAACAGACAUUGACUGGGUAAAAUUUCCAUGGGUAUAGUUUUCCUUUCUCCAUAACUCUCAGCUGCUUUUCACUUAUUUUACCCAGUUAACAGCUCAGAGAGGAUACUGGUGCCAGGCCAGGCCUUCGUUUAAUUUAGUCAGUCAGAAGGCUGUGCUUGGGAACAGGACAUUAUCAGGGACUCAUGCCCAGGAGUCUGGGUAGCUUAGGUGUUCCUCUCCAUGUCCAUACUCUUACUUGAUGUGCCUCGCAGCGCAGUGUGGUGGGAAAGCGCUGGUGCCUUGAACAGCGUGUGAUGACACUGACCUCUAGUGGGAAUAGAUCCUUUCCUCUUUAGAUUUUCCCUGCAGUUUUAACCAUUUUAAGUGAUACAUAUUAAAGGGAACUAGAGAGACCCAAGAACGAGAGCUUCGUUUUUUAAAAUCUUCAAAACUAAAUCAGAACAUCAAGAUUUGCCUCAUAUUAUUUAAUUAUUUGUAAUCCCUCUACCACUGUAUUCAAUACAUGAUAGAUAGAUAUUUAUGCAUAUGUAUAUCUCUCUGUAUUUAAAGCCUCUGAAAAUUAUGGAAGUCAAAAACUUGCACAGCCAGGCAGAAAAGCUCUCUCUUAGGAAGACGACAUGAAAGGAAGCCAAGCCUUGCAGAAUGAGUAACAGAAGGCAAAUAACGGGGCAAAGCAGCCAAGUUCCUCUUUCAGACUUUCCAGUAAAAUUGUCUGAAAGGUUAAUAGAAGCACACCCAGUCGAAGAGAGCUGGCAGAGAUGGUGCCUGAGCUGGGUGUUAGUGGGUGUAGUUGAAAGGUCAGAGCAGAGAGUGGUUGGCCAUGGAUGCCUGGGGUGCAUAGCUGAUGUCAAUGAGGCAUGCCUGGUCUCCCCACUCAGCUGCAGUAGACCACAGCAACACAGCCCUGGCACAGCACUAGCCAGCUAAAAGAGUUCAAGACACACCAUAAGCAAGCUGCAAGAUCACAAACUCCAGAUAAAUUCCCAUCAGCAGCAGAGGAAGGCCACUUCCAGGGGCUACUUGCUAACCAGAGGUGUAAGAUUGGACUGUAGAGUCCCUGGUGGUGGGUCUUGAAUUGCCUUUUUGCUAGAACUGGUUCAGGGCUUACUAUUCCAGGUUCUGUGCUUUGGCUGAACUGUUCCUGGACAUGUGCUAGUCCUGGAAUCAGGAUCCACACCUAUUUCCCAACUGGAACAGCACAUUGCAAUAUAAUCAAGGCGUUACUGAUGCCUGAUGAAAAGAGAAGCUGAAACUAGUUCACAGAAAAAUUAAAUCUUUGUGUAUCACCACACAGGUUUGUGUUGAUUUGACCACUUUAUCCAUCGGAAAGUGCACAAGAAGCCAUUCCAUGAUGGAGCUGCAUCUAGUAUGUUACUAGAGAAAAUGGUAAAGGCAUUCAGAAAGGCAAUUGGUGGAUAACCUAGUAGUAGAUUCUAUUAAUUAUGUGUGUGGAUCAGGAAGAACAGCUACAGGUGGAGCUGGGAUGCAGCCAUCACCAGGGUGUGAGAGGGACUGACAUUGAUAUAUGGUCCAGAUCCCCAUACCGCACUGGAUGGAGCUGACAGAUGUCGGAGAAGCUCCUUUCCUUCAGUAAUUGUAAUCUUGCAGUGACAUAGUGCCAGAGACACAACUGGAGACAUUGAAAUAAAUCUUGAGCAUGGGAAGAAAACUUGUGACUGGAAGUCAUUGAUGCCAAAAGAGACUUAUCUGUCUCCCUGCUGCUGCCCUCACACCCCAAAACCUUUCUUCCUGCAAACCCAAAGCAACAGCUGCAGUGUGGGAUAGGGAACUAUUUGUUGCUCUGCAUGUGGUUCCUGUGAGUCCAUCCAGUAUCCAUCACCAAGCUCUUCCCAGGUAAGUUUCCUUGCAGGAGAUUGUUCCCCUCCUGCUCAGAUGAACUGGAAGAAUGGGCAUCCUGCACAGACAGAAAGUCAUCUUGAACAAUAAAAGCAAAAAGUGAAACUGAUUUUAAAGCA